UACGUAGGGACCGAGCGUUGUCCGGAUUCAUUGGGCGUAAAGAGCUCGUAGGCGGCUGCUCAAGUCGAAUGUGAAAACUCGAGGCUCAACCUCGAGCCUGCAUUCGAUACUGGGCGGCUAGAGUCUGGUAGGGGGAUCUGGAAUUCCUGGUGUAGCGGUGGAAUGCGCAGAUAUCAGGAGGAACACCGGUGGAGAAGGCGGGAUCCUGGGCCAGUACUGACGCUGAGGAGCGAAAGCGUGGGGAGCAAACAGG
rnacentral:rRNA from 1 species